rnacentral:lncRNA from 1 species
GAGAUCAAAAUUUAGGACGACUGCAAAUUGAAUAGAAUUUAAGCCCAAGUUAGACAGUCUAUUUAGUCAAUAUCAUGAAACUAAGGUGGGAUCUUCAGUCUUUUGACGCUUAGCUUCACCUUGAGCCUCUUCAUCAUCAUCGUCAUCAUCAUGCUUGAUAGAUCCAUUUACCGCCUCCGGACCCAAGAUAGAAAUGUGCUCGCUGGUGAUUUGACGACCUGCUCUCAGCUUUGGACCCCAAUGCCUUUCAGGGUUUGGAAGGAAGCGCGCAACCUUCUUGGCUUGUGCCUUGUUCAGAGAUCCGACAGCUCGAGCAAAAUUUGCCUGCUCCAAACAAAACUGUUAGCUAAAAGAACCACUACAGACAAUUAAUACCUCUUAUGAGUGAGUGGCGCGUUUGCCAAGAUCGUGCACCCGCAUGGAUCAUAUAAUAUUUUCAUAGCAUAGCAUAAGUGAGGGAAUCGUAUAAGGUAUCAUAUAUGUAAAAGAAAAACAAACAGAAGAAGAAAAGGAACAGCUGUAAGAGGAGAAACGCACUUGGAAAGCUGGUUCCUUGGCCAGUAUCACACAUCCAGGCUGAUCUGAAGGUUGUUCUUUGACGGGAUGACUUUUCACCUACAUAGGAAACACAACAAAAAUGCUAUGAACUUGUUUUUUUAUGACAAUGGAAUGUGACAGAACAUCUGCAAAUACCACAAACAUCCAUGGGGCAUCUAUCAUCUUCCAGUUUGUAGCUCAAGAAGAAUCAGGAGAGUCCUUACCCAGCAUCGCAUGAUGUACCAAAUAACGUCCAAGGGGCAUCUGUCUUCAACCCCAGUGGAUUCACAUGAGUUCCAGAGAUUCUAUAUCCGGCAUUAAUAACAGCAGAACGGAAGAUAACUGCCGAUGGUGAGGUGCAUUUUAGGGUGGCACAGAGAUUGUGCAAACUUAAGAACAAAGGAAUAUCGGGCAGUUCCUGCAAACACCAUAUCCUCCAAGAGUUAACACAUUGAUCGAGCCAAAAAAGCAAAGUAUAAUUGUAAUGAGCAAGCAAAGCACGCUGGUCAAAGCUUUUAUCUGUCUGCGCAAAUAUAACUGAGUAAAAAUAUGUCAUCAAAAUAAUGAGGAAGCAAUACCUAGCAUUCAAAGGACAGCCUCCAUGAAACAAUGUUCAAAAGAAGACUCAGUAGUAUAUUGAGACAUAUAAAGACCAAAUACGUCAUUUGGACAUAUAUUGAACCCGUGCAAUUUCAUUCACUUUGGUCAUUAAACUGUAUCUUUGCUAGAGCCCACAAAAACUUAAUUGCCAAUCUACAGUUGAAGAGAGAUGAGGCCAUGCUACUUCUGUAAAAGCUAUUGUUUUACAAUUGCAGCUCUUGGUUCAAGUUCAUGCAACUCUCAAGUUAUUUUGAUGAAGAAGAAAAAAGAGGAAAAGUUCACCUCUGAGAUUGUUGUCAGUACAGCGGAGAUACGAUCAUAAGCAGGAUAUCGAUCCUUCAUGGAUUUCAAAUCUGCAAGUAUUGAAGUCACCCAUUCGUGAUCAUGGAUGGGCGCCGACCAUAUAGGACCUCCCAUAUUAAAUUUCUUCCCACAGUCGGUGCAUUCUUGAGGAACAACAGGACCAAACCCAGGUAAAUACCUCAUGCUGUUAUUCUAGAGGGCAAAAUUGUUUAAUCAACACAUUGACUAGAAUGACUGAAAAUAAGAAACUGAAGAUGCUCCCUUGACAUGGUUGAAUAUGUAAAAAUAGCAAAAAUGAAUUAUAACAAAGGAUUUUUAUUUAUAAACACAAAGAUAAUCCUGCGUCACACAGCCAAGUGGCCACAAAAAUUAAGUAAAAGCACAAACAGAAAUUUGAGGAUACAACUUCUUGAUAGAACUGCUUCAAAGUGUCUUGGACACUAUUGACACUACAGUUACAAACUUAUUUUGAUCUCAACCUCGGAUUAGACAUGUGAAUCCUUGUUCCAGCCAUUCAACAUCAUGGGCCCAUCAAAUGAAAACUUAUGAGAACUAAUAACAUAAGGUGGACCAAGUCCUGUGCUUUCUCUCAGGCCAAACUAGGAACACACACACGGUAUUGGGAUGGUCUUGUGCUUAUAAGCCCGUGAACUUGAUCCCAUGACUAGCCAAAAGAAAAAUAAGCAUCGAAAUGCAUUGCAUAAACAAAAAAACAACUGAACCAUGACCUGAACAGUAAUCAUAGGUCAAGCUUGAUCAACUCCAGCAUGCCACAACUCUUAUGCAUUUUUCAGAGCAUAACAUUGGUAACCAACAAUUAGUUUUUUAUCAUUUACCUCAGGUCAAGCAAGUUGUAACAUUCCCAAGCAACUAGCGACGUGGCAAAGUGCUCUAAAACAGGAUACAAACCUUGGAAACUGUUCUUCCUAUCUGCUGAAGAUGAAAAGAAUCACAACCCGUGCAUUGAUAAACAUAUGACAGCUUAAGGGGAGUAUUCUUCAUUGCGCUUGCAGACCUGCAUCAAUAACGUGACCAACAAUGUUGUCAUGCAAUGAUGACAUGGCAUAUUAAUGAUAUGGCAUACAAUGACAACAUGGCAUAUUACAGACAUGGAUGCAGACUCUUGGAACAAGUCAGUCAACUAUUCUUCGGCUUUCUCGGGCCCAUGGUAACAACUAAAGAGAAACAUUUAUCCCCUUUGCAACUAUGAUUAGAAAAAGACAUAAAACACAUCUCUUUCACCAAAUAAUUUUUACAAUUAUUUCAAAAUGCAAUGAUCAACAAGCUCUAGGAUUUGCUCAAACACCUAAUCGAUUCGGAGACUGGAAGCCUUCAGCUAUUUAGCCUUUGGAUCAACGAGGACACCUUGACAUUCCUUUGCUAUUACAAACUAGGGUUGACUAUCAUAAUAUUAGGGUUUUUAAUAUAGGCAUUUCAUGUUUUUUCCUACUACAUUCCACCUAUAAACUAUAUACAGAAAAAGCAAACAAAUAAAUGAUAAUUCUACCAAUUAUAAGCUAUCUUUGCAUGCUCAUCGUUUGCUAAGUCAGCUUCUAGAGUCUUAGCUCAAGUAUUCUGGUAGUGGAUUUACCCAACUUAUAAAUUUUAAUAAACAAUUAUGUAAAAGAAACUGCCUUAAGCGUAUCCCUUCAUACAAAGGUGCAGAGAACUUCCAUUAACAGAACACUUCUCUUUGAUAUUAAAUUUUCCUUUCUAUCUUAUGAUUUGGAAAUUUGGCAUAUAAUCAUAACUUUGAGGUCAACUAUUAUCUUCUUUCAUUCGAAAAAGCAUAUCACGCUUCCCGACUAUCACGCCCCGAACCUCCGAGCGCGUGCCCAUGCCUCUCUGGUCAAUAAAAUUUUGCGACUUCUCAGGACGAGUCGCUGACCCUUUCGUUUUAUUGCACAUGCGGAAGAGAAAAUAAAUCCCUUGAUAAUAAUCAUCUCGGGAUAGAAAAGCAGGACAUCAAUUCACAAAAGCACACUUUUAUAAAUAACGAGAUUCAAGUACAAAAUGAAUUUAGUCGAAAGCCUACAAAAAGGUCGACUCUCAAAAGAGGCUAUCCUACAACCUACUGAUAGGAUGCAUCCACCGAUCCUCCGUACUCCUCCUCCUCAAACUUUGGGGCCUUGGUCCUCCAUGACCAUCUUCUAAGGACCUGAAAAUGGUUAUUUAAUAACCAAUGAGACAAUAUCUCAGCAAAUCCACGCUCUAAACCCCGAUUAGGAGGGUAAUAGGCCCAAAGGCGUCCUAACCACUCAAUCACACAUUUAGUAUAGAGGACUUACCUCGCCUCAGUCCCACCCUGUAGAUCAAUACAAUUUAUAUCACAAACAGCCAUACAGAUAUGAGCAACAAUUAAGCCCCAAUAAUAGGAACGACACACUCAAUCAAUCAUGCGUUCCUAGCUUUACUCUCGACAUAUAGUACGGCCUACUUUUUAUUCAAUGGUCCUCUGACAUUGUGAGACAUCGUCUCACACUAUUGUGCACGGUAUCGUCACUAUAUUGACGGCAUUCCAUAAAGGAGCAUCAGUCUAGAGUCUAUUGCGAUCGGCAUCCAUUGGACCAACAUGAUUGGAUUGAUUUUGAGAUGCCCUUAUUAGAUUUUUUUUUUUUUUUUUAAGUUGUGGCCACAUAAAACAAAAUUUUCAGUUAUUAACCCAAUAGUGUCAUUUUCAAUAUAUACAAUCUUUUUAUAAAUAAAAUAAGUUAAUUAAUGUAGCCUAAGUGGGAGAAUAUUGGAAAUAUUCUAUAAUAUGGGCUUACAUUAAUUAAUUAAUUUUUUAUUUUAAAUAAUCGGGUAAAUCGACAUUACAAUAUUUGUUAAACCCUAUAGUGAUCUUAUUGAAGUGGGUAUUGGCAUCUAUUAAUAACGGGCCUAGUUGAGCAGCAAAGCAUAGGCAAUUGUGUUUAACUGAAGCCCAUAAUGGGAAUGGACCAAUUUGAUUAUGGUUUACUAAGUCCCCUCUCUAGCCUAUAAAAGAUUAUAUUAUACUUAUCAGUUGUUUUAAUCCCAUUGAAAACUGCUACAUCAAAAUAAAUCUGGAAGAUCUGGCAUUCCGAUAGAUCUCUGACAGGUACGUUCUAUUUUGUUGUGCUUAUUGAUUUCUAUGUUUUACAGUCGGAUCCGAUUCUUCUUGAUUGAUUAGUUGUUUACGUGCAUAGUUUUCUACAUGAGUCUCUCCCAACUAAAUCUUUAUUUGAAGAGGAUCGCACUUCGAUUUUUUUACCCCGCGUCUUACGGUGGAAUCUAUGUACUUUUCGCAUGGACCAUCGGAAGGAACGAAAGGCGGUGCCAUUUUCAAUUGUGAUAAAUCCGAGUAAGUAGACGCGCGUCAGCAAGUGUUUCUUGACCUCUUGGGGCUGUUCGACUAGCUUUUUCCUACGGGUUCAGUCAACGCUCCGUGCACAUGUGCACCUCCUCUCUCUCUCUCUCUCUCUCAAAUGAUUCCCAAAUGAUUUUCUUGGAAACCACACUAUCAGUCCACGACGCAUCUUCAAUAACUCUAGUGCUUGUAGCUGUGAAUAGUCUAUGUCGCACCCCCUACUCUUGCCCACAUUUGUCAACAAAGUCAAAAUGCAGAGGUGUGUUGGGAGACGAAUUGACUCCGCAGUGCGUAUUUGCAUGCAACUUUUUAAAUCCACCGGCUGUUCUCUGAUAGCAAUAGUCGAGACGAUCCGCCUUACUUUUCUUUCCUUCACUGUUGAGUUGAGCCGUGUGCCUUGUAAAAAGUGUUGAAAAGAAACCUUUCUUUUUCGGCCAAUCUAAUUCUUGGGCUUGCAGGUCUCCCAAGAGGCUCCGCAGUUGGCCUACUCUCUCUCUCUCCCCUCCACUUCCCCCACCAAAAGGUAAGAAAGGAUGAAAACCAUAUAGGGUGACAACUUGGCUUAUUGUCAUUAUGAUAAUAGAAGAGCUAAUUGUAAUCAAUUUUAAAAAGAUGCUUUUGCACGAUCUGGUUGAUUUACUUAUUGUAAUUGCCACCCAAGCAGGCCUAUAUAUACACGUACUUACUUACCGACAGAAUCCCAAGCUUUCAUAACCUUUGCGACUUUUCUGAAGAACAGAGGAGCAAGUGAGGGCUUGAGCUGAGCUUCUUGAGAGCAUCAAUGGCCGUUCACGUUCUGCUGCUUCUUGUGGCCUUCACGCUGCUCAGUGCAUGCACUGCUUUAUUGAAGUGGAAUGAGGUGAAGUACCGGAGGAAGAAGGGGUUGCCUCCGGGCACGAUGGGUUGGCCCUUGUUUGGCGAGACCACAGAGUUCCUGAAACAGGGCCCAAACUUCAUGAAAAACCAGAGAGCAAGGUCACUUCACCCACUUUCUCCGCAUUGCUGCAUUUCAUUUUUGUAGAAAGAAGAUUUAUUCUUGUGAUUUCUCUGACUACAUUUUUGUAUGUGGAAUGUGCUUCAUCCUUUCCUGUUUUUUUUUUCUUGAGGGUGUGGCUCUUGUCACUUCAAUAGCUGCAGACUUCGCAAUUUUUCUAUGAAUGUUUCCUGCUUUUUUUCCCUUUUUUGGGGUUCGGUAUGGGAUGUCUACUAGGCCGAUAACCGCUGGUCCACCUCUCCGGGCUAAGUCUAAAGGCAAACUAUACGAACUCGGCCUCUGUUGCCUGCGCAGGGCUCGAACCUGGGUAUAGCUACCAAACGGCCCUCCUGAGUUCUCUGUAAAAUGUAACUGUGAAGAAGAGAAGAUUUUCUGAUGUCUGAAACAGUUCAUUUUUCUCUUCUUUUUUCAGUGACCCUACUAAAAAUUUGGUCCGAGGUGCUUGAUCUUUUUUACACUGUUGUUGACAGGUAUGGGAGUUUGUACAAGUCCCACAUUCUCGGGUGCCCGACAGUUGUGUCCAUGGACCCAGAGCUCAACAGGUUCAUCCUCAUGAACGAAGCGAAAGGCCUGGUGCCCGGUUACCCGCAGUCCAUGCUCGACAUAUUGGGCAAGAGCAACAUCGCCGCCGUCCACGGGUCCGCCCACCGGCACAUGAGAGGGGCAUUGCUCGCCCUGGUCAGCCCCGCCAUGAUCAGGGACCAUCUCUUGCCCAAGAUAGAUGAGUUCAUGAGAUCCCACCUCAGCAACUGGGCUGAUCAUCACACCAUCGACAUUCAGGAGAAGACCAAACAGGUAUAGAGCAUCAUAUACGAUACUGUUGAUUCAUCUAGUUUUUUACGCUUAUAGUGUACAGUCAGUGAUCUUGUUCCAUCUUCCUUUCUUCAAUUCAGAUGGCAUUUCUAUCAUCUCUAAAGCAAAUUGCUGGUAUCGAAUCGGGCGCAAAAGUUAAGGCAUUCACGGAUGAAUUUUUCAAGUUGGUCCUAGGAACUCUGUCCCUGCCCAUUGAUUUUCCCGGCACAAAUUAUCGCCGCGGGUUUCAGGCAAGCCCCCCUAUUUAGGUCCAUUUUGAUAGAAAGGAAGAGUUCAAACAGAAUUUUCCCGAUGUCAAUCGACUUGAACUUUCGUUUUUUUUUCCUGCAUUUUUUAGGCAAGGAAGAAUAUUGUCAGCUUGUUGAGGCAACUAAUGGAGGAGAGAAGGGCUUCGCGAGAAACCCACCAAGACAUGCUUGGCUUUUUGAUGAGAGAAGAUGAAAAUAGAUAUAAGUUGACGGAUGAAGAGAUAAUAGACCAGACAAUUGCCGUUUUGUACUCUGGGUAUGAAACUGUCUCAACAACAACCAUGAUGACCAUCAAGUACCUGCAUGAUCACCCGAGGGUGCUUCAAGAACUGAGGGUCAGUCUUCCUUUUCGGUGCUUGCUUCCGAAUACGCUUGUUCAUUUCUUUUCAGUUGCUUGAAAAUCUGACUCGGCUUCAAAAUCCGGCAGAGAGAACAUUUGGCGAUCAGAGGGUCCAAAGAGCCUGAAGAUCCAAUUGACUGGAACGAUGUCAAAUCAAUGCCGUUCACACGUGCAGUAAGACGCAAUGCAACAUAAUCUCGUCUAGGAAACAAUCAUUAUGUGAUACAAAUGAAAACAGGAGUCUUGACUAACUGUGCAUGCUCUGCUUUUUUCUUAUGCAGGUGAUCCUUGAAACGUCCAGAUUGGCCACUGUUGUAAAUGGGGUGUUGAGGAAAACAACUCGGGAUGUGGAACUCAGUGGUAAAAUUUCAUCUAAUUCCCAGAGUGCCCAAAAUUUUUAUUUAAGAUAGUUUCAGCAUGAACAUUUCUUUAAAAGAUCAACUUCAUAUGAACCUGUGAUGAUGCGACCGUUUAAUAUAUGUUUUGAGAUUCAUUUGACUAAACAAAGAACUUGGGAACUAUUAAAAAAACAACAGGUGCACAGCUGCUGAGGAUGCGCUUUGAGUGUUAUAACAACAACAGAAGCAAAUGAUGAUUGGAAGUUGUUGCUGUCUCUCUCUAUGCAGGUUUUACAAUUCCAAAGGGAUGGAGAAUAUAUGUUUACACGAGGGAGAUAAACUACGACCCUCAUUUGUAUGAAGAGCCCCUCGCUUUCAAUCCAUGGAGAUGGAUGGUUCGUGUUGAUCGGAUCAGAGCCCCUGGUUCAACAUCUCUUGCUUUUAUUCGCAUGAAGAUUGUUGACCCUGAUAUUUUCAAUUCUUUAACUCAGGACCGAAGCAUGGAAUCUCAAAACUACUUCUUACUAUUUGGCGGAGGCACAAGGCACUGUCCCGGAAAGGAACUUGGGAUUGCCGAGAUUUCUACAUUUCUUCACUACUUUGUAACUAGAUACAGGUAAACGAUACACCGUCAAUGCAUUUAGUAGCGACGCUAGAGAUGAUUGACUUGGCUGACAUGUGAAUGAAUGAAACUUAAUUCAUUUCCUGUGCAGAUGGGAAGAAGUUGGAGGAGAGAAACUGAUGAAAUUCCCGAGAGUUCAAGCGCCAAAUGGAUUGCACAUUAGAGUCAGAUCUUACUCAGCUUUUUCCUAAGAGGGUCGAUAUGUAAAAAGGAACACAUUCGUGAAUAACUGGAUCUCUAGUUAGCAUAUACCGGAUAUGAAUUGACCGGUGAUCAACCGACCAUUGCCUGCUUAUUGUGUGACCUUGAUUUGCACUUUAAUGAUAGUUUCGUAUAAGUUAGGAACACGUGCAAUUGUGCACGUGAGAUUCACGUGAGAUGGGUGAUGCUAUGAGCGAAUUAGGAAUCUGGAAAUGACGCAAUCGCGCAUGUUAGACUUGUCCCUGUAGUUCAGUUUUGGGAGAAAAGCACAUGGAGAGGUUAAUUUCUUGAAGAAAGAAAGUUUGGGCUUGAUUUUUUGUCCGCUGCCGCCCCUAGAAAGCCGGUAAAGAAAAACCGAAUAGACUCUGAAUCCACAAGCAGACCGGCUAUAUUUAUUCAGGCCGAGACAUUCAUGCAAGCACAAAUCCACAAAACUUCUUUCUCUUGCAUCGUUCAUCUAGUUGAGCAUACAUCAUGCCCGACAAAACCUUUCGAUUUUCCAAGAAAAUGGAAUGGUUUACCUUGAAACAUACCUGGUCCAAGGUUGGAUUUUCCUGUCGUGUUUACCCCAGCAAGAUACGGGUACUGCGCCUCCGUGUGAACGGGCAAGAGGAAAAACCGUAGUGCUGGAAUUUUCUGCAAGGGCCUCGUUCCCGCUAAACCGGCCCCGACUUGUGUUCUCAGAUUGAAUCCACCAUAUACACCUCCAUAAUUAGACUAUAUACACCUCCAUAAUUAGACUAGCUCGGCUUGUAACAAAUCGACGCUUUUUCAAAAGCUAACGCAAUACAACUAGUCACCGCAACCAGUCAAUGAGUACUUAAACAAGAAAGGCAAUCAGACAAGCCCAUUUUAUUGUAGUUAAAUCAUUUGCAGAAUCUUCGACUACCUCUUCAUUAUCAACGGAUAGUAAUUGUAGCUUGAUGAUGUCCCAAGGAAACAUUUCAAGAUAUAAAGCCAAUCCUUCCCAGCUUCCAUCAAGUUCCUAACCUACUGUUGAAACAUUGGGCAUCGUCAUCUCAGAAAUUUCAGGACCUGGCCCUCAAGGAUAGGCCUACAGAAGAAAGGGAAUACAAAAAGAAAAGAGGCAAGUACUUGAUGGAAGCCGAAACAGAGGCCAAGCAAACAAUUUCAUAUGCACAUUCUUAAGUGUGAAAAGGCUUCACUUGGCCAAGGAGCAUGGUUUAAAUUACACAACCAUGGAGCUCAGGUAAUAAAUCAACUGAAAGUUCUAGACUCUAUGUCACAUUACAAGAAUAAAUGACAAUAUAGGCCACAAAGAAGGGCAUUCCUCCAUUGGAGCCAGCCUAGCAAAACCCGAGAUCAAAAUUUAGGACGACUGCAAAUUGAAUAAAAUUUAAGCCCAAGUUAGACACUCUAUUUAGUCAAUAUCAUGAAACUAAGGUGGGAUCUUCAGUCUUUUGACGCUUAGCUUCACCUUGAGCCUCUUCAUCAUCAUCGUCGUCAUCAUGCUUGAGAGAUCCAUUUACCGCCUCCGGACCCAAAAGAGAAAUGUGCUUGCUGGUGAUUUGACGACCUGCUCUCAGCUUUG